rnacentral:rRNA from 1 species
UACGUAGGGGGCAAGCGUUGUCCGGAAUCAUUGGGCGUAAAGAGCGUGUAGGCGGCCCGGUAAGUCCGCUGUGAAAACUCGAGGCUCAACUUCGAGCUGUCGGUGGAAACUUUCUGGCUAGAGUCCGGAAGAGGAGAAUGGAAUUCCUGGUGUAGCGGUGAAAUGCGCAGAUAUCAGGAAGAACACCCGUGGCGAAGGCGGUUCUCUGGGACGGUACUGACGCUGAGACGCGAAAGCGUGGGGAGCGAACAGG